rnacentral:lncRNA from 1 species
GCUGCUGCCGGAUUUGCCUGCUACCUUGGAUGACUUCGGGAGGCUGGCGGCACCGAAGAGGCCUCCUGAGAGCUGGGCCCCUGGCGGAACUCUUAGCCGGUGGCGUGGCCUUAUCUCAGGUUGCUGGACAUGAAGGAGGCCAAGGCUGCUUUGGAAAGUUCCGUGGCCAUAUCUCAAGGAUGUCAUUGUAGGAACUGAUCACUUAGAUACUUCAAAAGUUAUACAGCUCCCCACAAAUACAGCAGGUGCAGUAUUUCCAAAGAAAAGGGAGUUUGGGAGUGGUAAUCUGGUGAGCAGCUGGCCCAGGGAACUGGUCGUGAAGCUCUGUUUGCACAACAGUGUUUUUAUUGGAAUUGUUUGUGGGGAAGGGGCU